AGCGAACGCUGGCGGCAGGCCUAACACAUGCAAGUCGAACGAACUCUUCGGAGUUAGUGGCGGACGGGUGAGUAACACGUGGGAACGUGCCUUUAGGUUCGGAAUAACUCAGGGAAACUUGUGCUAAUACCGAAUGUGCCCUUCGGGGGAAAGAUUUAUCGCCUUUAGAGCGGCCCGCGUAGGAUUAGCGAGUUGGUUGGGGUAAUGGCCCACAAAGGCGACGACCAGUAGCUGGUCUGAGAGGAUGACCAGCCACAUUGGGGCUGAGACACGGCCCAAACUCCUACGGGAGGCAGCAGGGGGGAAUCUUGCGCAAUGUGCGAAAGCCUGACGCAGCCAUGCCGCGUGUAUGAUGAAGGUCUUAGGAUUGUAAAAUACUUUCACCGGUGAAGAUAAUGACUGUAGCCGGAGAAGAAGCCCCGGCUAACUUCGUGCCAGCAGCCGCGGUAA
rnacentral:rRNA from 1 species